rnacentral:rRNA from 1 species
UAAAAGUCGUAACAAGGUUUCCGUAGGUGAACCUGCGGAAGGAUCAUUAGUGAAGCUUGCUAAUCUGACGGCAAGUUGUGAGCUGUCGAGAUGUGUGUUUAGUAUUGUGAAUGGAUUUUGAACAGUCGAGGCUAGCCUCGCAAGUAUAUCGACAGGUAUUGUCGAUUGAUGGUGGACCAAUUAGCUGGUGGGUCGAUGAAGGACACAGCUAGCUGUGCGAAAGAAUGUGAAUUGCAGGACACAUGAGCAUCGACACUUUGAACGCAUAUUGCGGGUGAAUGGAUUCCAUUCACCCAGUCAUGGAUCAAGGCCGGUUAACAACUGGAAAGCUAGAAGGCUUCGUGUAUCUGACUGCUUGUCAGAGCGUUGCCGCUUAAUCGAGAAAAGCUGUCUGGUUCCCGUCGAGUUAAAGCCAUUCAGUCGUGAGAGAAGCACGGCAGGCAUGAAUGGUUGACGGGAGAUAAAAGCCUGAUAGCGUGGUGAGCAGGGAUCGAAACGGAAACGACCCCUAACCUGACACAUCCAUAUAACCGCGGCUUGAUCUCAUGACAGGCUACCCGCUGAAUUUAAGCAUAUCAA